AUCACCUCCAUAUAUCCCUGUUUUGUGCCAACAAGACAUGCAGGAGGCAGAGAUGGCAAGGAGGCAACAGGAGAAGGAAACAAAGGAGAGACAGAAAGAGAUAGAGAAUUUCAGGGUACAAGAGGAUAAGACAAAGGCAGAAAAAUAUGAAAGAAAAACAGGACAGAAGACAUGGGGGAACACAGAUAUGGAGAGUGUGCAACAGGACAAAGAGAGGGUCCAGAGAAAGCUGGAGCCUGCUGUCCCUGUGCUAAAAGCAAGGGUCAUUGAGUGCAAGCCCAGGCCGAAACCAGACCUGAUACCUGAGUAUGGACUCAAGCCCAAGGCUGACCCAGCACCCAGGCCCAGGGCUGAGAAGGCAGACAUGGAGCUGCUGGACAUUGAGGAUGAGGAGUGUGAGGAUGAAGAGUUGGCUCUCAUGGGCAACAAAAAGAUUAUGCGUUCCUCAGAUCUGGAAGAAGCCCAGCAUGAGCUUCAAAGGGGGGCUAAGGAGGCCAGGCGUAGAGGCCAGGCCGAAGCCAUCGAGAAAUGUUACAGACACAUCGGCUCUAGUAAUAUUAGUAAAGAAGACAGCGCACCACCUAUGAAUGUUGCCAAUAGUAAGACUAAUGGAGAUAUGGAGGGAGGAACCUAUUCCUCAAACAGUAAUGAGGCAGACGAGAGAACUACCAAAGUGGACAGCGUGACUGGGAAAGUGAUUGGCUGGGUGAACAGAAAAGUCAAAGAGAGAAAUGAGAGAAAGAUUGCAAGAACAUACUGGAGGGAGGAGACUCAAAGUGAUCAGUUGUACAUAAACGGUGUAGUGGUUUGCAGCCGUGCCCAGCGGGAGAGAGAAAAGAGGGCAAAACUCCUCAAAGGUGAGCAAACCAGACGGAGGCUGGAAAGACGCUGGCAGGAGUGGGAGAAGAGGUACAGAAGAAAGAACACACUGAAGAGGGUACAGAGAAAUGGGCUCUGGUACAGGGAGUUGGAGGACAAGAACAGCAGCCAGGGUAGUCAUGAGGACAACUCACUGCCUGAUGGAGCAGAUGAGGCUGACGGUGAUGAAGAGGUGGAAUACCUUUUAAUGUAUGGGCCCUGCGACUGUGAACUCUGCAGGGACGGAUACACAUGUCUCUGGUACAGUUAUGACAAGGAGGAUACAGACCCCAAGGAGGCUAGGAGCAAGCGGAGGAGGAUAAUCAAUUGGAUCAAUACAAGAGUCAAAGAAGAUUAUCGCAAGAGAAUCAACACAACCUUUAACAUCCAGAGUUUAGUAUGCAAUGAUUAUGCCAUUUACGGAAACGCCAUCCUUCGCCAAUGGGACCUACAGAAGAUCAUACGGCGGGAACUCGUAAAAAAGGAGGAAAGAAGACAAAGGCUGGAGAAGCGCUGGAAGGAGUGGGAGAAAGUGAGGGCUCAGAAGAUAAAAACAAUUCUUCAGGAGAAGAAGGCAAAGGAACAGGUCAGGCUCAAUAGGCUGAUAGACCUGAAUCUAGAGGCAGACCAGAAGAUCAAGGAGUUCAUUGCUGCCAAUCCAGGAAUCCAGUCCCAGUACCCUGGAGGUCAUACCAGGAUGGAGAUGAUGGGACGUUGGGACAUGGGCUACCAGAGGGAGGAGACUCAGGGCCAGGAGGGCAGAGUAGGGCCUGCUACUGUACAAAAGUCCACUGCACCUCUGCGGACCAAGAAAAUAAGCAAAUGGCAGAAGUUGCAAAAAUGGUUUUACACGAUCCAACUGUGAAAAGUCCAGCCCCAGAAUGAUCAUAUGAAAGUUAUUUCCUAAUAAAUAUUUUGGAAGUAAAAUGAAAAUCCAAACGGAAUCAAUUAUAUACAGAUCCUAUCAGAUACUAUUCCCUCAUAAUAUGGUACAUUGUUAUUUCAAAACCAGACACUUAAAAACAAAGACAUAGUUCAUUUUGUUGCAUAUAUUUCAAAAUGUAAUUUAAUGAAACAAAAUGAAAAGAAUGUUAUAGAUUUUUAGUGAAUUAAUACUGGUAACCAAAGCAGGCAAGCUGAGAAGUGUCCAAAAUGUACAUCCCAAGGCAUAUCGGUGAACAAUAUUUUCAGAAUUAUGAGAAAAAAGUACAAAAAAUACUAAAUACAAAGUUGCUAAUUUUAAAAGAAUUGCAAGGAGGAAUGGGAAAAAAUGUCAGUCUCUCGAUAUGCAAAACUGAUAGAGACAUACCCCAAGCGACUUACAGCUGUAAUCGCAGCAAAAGGUGGCGCUACAAAGUAUUAACUUAAGGGGGCUGAAUAAUUUUGCACGCCCAAUUUUUCAGUUUUUGAUUUGUUAAAAAAGUUUGAAAUAUCCAAUAAAUGUCCUUCCACUUCAUGAUUGUGUCCCACUUGAUGUUGAUUCUUCACAAAAAAAUACAGUUUUAUAUCUUUAUGUUUGAAGCCUGAAAUGUGGCAAAAGGUCGCAAAGUUCAAGGGGGCCGAAUACUUUCGCAAGGCACUGUAGGCUUAUUACCUAACAAACACUUAGUACUUAAAUAAAAAAACACUUUUAACAUAGGCCAGGUCCUGUUGUUACCUCAUAUCCCAGCGAUAAUGCCUUGCAUUACUACGCCUGGGAUGAAAACACUUACAUUUGCUCAACUGGUCAUCCCUACUGCCUCUGAGCUGGUGGACUUACUAAACACAAAUGCUUUGUUUGUAAAUUCUGUCUGAGUGCUGGAGUGUGCCCCUGGCUAUCCGUAAAUAAAUAAAAAUAACAAGAAAAUUGUGCCGUCUGGUUUGCUGAAUAUAAGGAAGUUGAAAUGAUUUAUACUUUUACUUUUGAUACUUAAAUACAAUUUAGAAAUUCAGUUUACUUUUGAUACUUAAGUAUGUUUAAAACCAAAUACUUUUAGACUUUUACUCAAGUAGUAUUUUACUGGGUGACUUUUACUUUUACUUGAGUCAAUUUCUAUUAAGGUAUCUU
rnacentral:lncRNA from 13 species